CCUACGGGAGGCUGCAGUGGGGAAUAUUGCACAAUGGGGGAAACCCUGAUGCAGCGACGCCGCGUGAGCGAAGAAGUAUUUCGGUAUGUAAAGCUCUAUCAGCAGGGAAGAAAAUGACGGUACCUGAGUAAGAAGCUCCGGCUAAAUACGUGCCAGCAGCCGCGGUAAUACGUAUGGAGCAAGCGUUAUCCGGAUUUACUGGGCGGAAAGGGAGCGUAGGCGGCCUGCCAAGUCUGAUGUGAAAUACCGGGGCUCAACCCCGGGGCUGCAUUGGAAACUGGCAGGCUGGAGUGCCGGAGAGGUAGGCGGAAUUCCUAGUGUAGCGGUGAAAUGCGUAGAGAUCAUACAGAACACCGAUUGCGAAGGCAGCUUACCAAGCUACGUCUGACGUUGAGGCACGAAAGCGUGGGGAGCAAACAGGAUUAGAUACCCCAGUAGUC
rnacentral:rRNA from 1 species